rnacentral:rRNA from 1 species
UCGAGAAUCAUUCACAAUGGGCGAAAGCCUGACGCAGCAACGCCGCGUGACCGAUGAAGCUUCUCGGAGUGUAAAGGUCUGUCGUGAGGGAAGAAAAAUCCGGAUGUAAAUAAUGUUCGGACGUGACGGUACCUCACAAGAAAGCACCGGCUAACUUAGUGCCAGCAGCCGCGGUAAUACUAGGGGUGCUAGCGUUGUCCGGAAUCACUGGGCGUAAAGGGUCCGUAGGCGUUUUGCUAAGUUGAUUGUUAAAUCCAUCGGCUCAACCGAUGAUCUGCAAUCAAAACUGGCAGAAUAGAGUUCGAGAGAGGAAAGUGGAAUUCCUGGUGUAGCGGUGACAUGCGUAGAUAUCAGGAGGAACACCAAUGGCGAAGGCAGCUUUCUGGCUCGAUACUGACGCUGAGGGACGAAAGCGUGGGGAGCGAACAGG